UAGGGCUUGCUUUGGAGCAAACCCUAGAGGUAAGCCUCAACCCCUUUCAUGGUAUCUUGGGUUUUUAUGAGGUUUGGUUGGUUUUAAUGGUUCAAAUAGAACCUCUUGAGUUUAGGGAACAUGGAUUUAGCUCACAUUGAAGCUAUAAUCCAUAGCUUCUCAUGGAUCCUAACCCUAGGGUUAGAUUUUGGAGAUUUUGCAAAUAUUAGGGUUU
rnacentral:lncRNA from 1 species